UACGAAGGGGGCUAGCGUUGCUCGGAAUUACUGGGCGUAAAGGGCGCGUAGGCGGAUAGUUUAGUCAGAGGUGAAAGCCCAGGGCUCAACCUUGGAAUUGCCUUUGAUACUGGCUAUCUUGAGUUCGGGAGAGGUGAGUGGAACUGCGAGUGUAGAGGUGAAAUUCGUAGAUAUUCGGAAGAACACCAGUGGCGAAGGCGACUUACUGGACACAUAUUGACGCUGAGGUGCGAAAGCGUGGGGAGCAAACAGG
rnacentral:rRNA from 1 species